rnacentral:rRNA from 1 species
UACAGAGGUCCCAAGCGUUUGUUCGGAUUCAUUGGGCGUAAAGGGUGCGUAGGUGGCGCCGUAAGUCGGGUGUGAAAUUUCGGAGCUUAACUCCGAAACUGCAUUCGAUACUGCGGUGCUUUGAGGACUGGAGAGGAGACUGGAAUUCAUGGUGUAGCAGUGAAAUGCGUAGAGAUCAUGAGGAAGACCAGUGGCGAAGGCGGCCCACUGGAUCGGUACUGACGUGAGGUGCGAAAGCGUGGGGAGCAAACAGG